GUGAGGAAUAUUGCGCAAUGGAGGCAACUCUGACGCAGCCAUGCCGCGUGCAGGAAGAAGGCGCUACGCGUUGUAAACUGCUUUUAACCGGGAAGAAACCCCAGGACGUGUCCUGGGUUGACGGUACCGGAGGAAUAAGCACCGGCUAACUUCGUGCCAGCAGCCGCGGUAAUACGAAGGGUGCAAGCGUUAUCCGGAUUCAUUGGGUUUAAAGGGUGCGUAGGGGGAGCGUUAAGUCAGUGGUGAAAUCCUGCAGCUUAACUGUAGACUUGCCAUUGAUACUGGCGCUCUUGAGUGCGCUUGAAGUGGGCGGAAUGUGCCGUGUAGCGGUGAAAUGCUUAGAUAUGGCACAGAACACCUAUUGCGAAGGCAGCUCACUAAGGCGAUACUGACGCUGAGGCACGAAAGCGUGGGGAUCGAACAGGAUUAGAAACCCCAGUAGUCC
rnacentral:rRNA from 1 species